CCGCGCCCGUCAUGCACAAGAAAUGAAAGUGAAAGCAAUACAAAAUAAAGUCAUGACUGAUUUGUAAAGACUAAUGAAACUUCCACUCUAUAUUUUCAACUAAAAUGUCAUUGCGUGGGUUUGGCAAUAGUUAUCUGAGAAGCGGCACCUGCAGUGUAUCCAGCCAGGACAUUGAAGCCCAGUACCAGCAGAACCCAAAUGGAACUAUGAACUUCACUACCAGGAGAUUCAGCUAUCAACUGAACUUCUCAGCCCUGACCCAAAGAAACCUGUCCACUCAGACCACCCGAUCUGUUCAACACCUGAACUAAUCACUGCCCACGACACUGUCCUCUGUCAGGGGCGAAGUGCAAUACCCUGGCAGUGGAGGCUGGUGGGAGGAGCUAUAGGAGGACGGGCUCAUUGUAAUGGCUGGAAUGGAACGGUAUCAAACACAAACACAUGGAAACGUUUCACUCUGUUUCUUUUAUUCCAUUCCAGCCAUUACAAUGAGCCCGUACUCCUAUAGCUUCUCACACCAGCCGCCACUGUACACUGGGUGCAUCUCAAUUGUCUAAAGUGGCUUCCUCUCAACUCCAUUUCUUCAUGUGCACAGUGAAGACGAAGUCCCUGUCCGGUACUGAGACAGAACCCCUUCCAUUCCACUUCCUCCUAAAAAUGAAACUUGUUUACAUAUGUAUUCAUGGAUUUCCUGUUAUUUUCUCAACAUUGUGCAUAGACUUAAAAACCAAUACUAUUAUUAGAAAAGUAACUUCUGACAAUCUGCACAAUACUUUAAAAAUGUGAUCUGUAAAAAGAACCCUCUCACUGCCAAUGGUACAAAAGGAAGAAGCCUUUUGAGCAUGUUCUAGCAUGUACAUUUGCAUUGUCUUUAGUUUGAAUAAAGAUGAUUUUCUAUCUA